rnacentral:lncRNA from 1 species
GGCUAGUUCUACAGCGAGCCAGAUUUUAUCCAAAAUUUCUCCAAUGGCUAUAUUUCAUCUUCAAUGUAUAAAAAUGGCUAGUUUUGGGCUCAAUCAACAUAAAACUUGAUGGGAAUCAUUCAAAUAUAAAAAAAAUCAAGUGAACAAAGAAAAGUAACUAUUCAUACCAUUAAAAGUUGAAAAGAGUGACUUUUCAAAAUUUAUUGUGUUCAAAAAAGUUCACCAAGUUCCAACCUACUUCCUCUCGACUUUUGUGAGAGCAUUGAAGGAACAUUCAAGAGCCUUAACUACAAGCAUUCAAGCACCCAAC